CCUCAAAUCCCUGUUGCCUCUUUUUUGUCUCUGCACAACCUCCUUGCCUCCUGAGAGCAUUGCUGGUCCAUCUCUCAGACAAGCUCAAGAAGAGAAAUACACCCACCAGAGUACUCUGCAAGUUACACCUUCAUCUUGCUUAGGAAAUUAAGAUGCCCAGGACAACUCCACACCAUGCUCUGUGCCUAGGAAUCCCCAGAGGAUACUCCUGUCUCUCCUUACCGUAUUAUGUUGCUGUCCUUGGCCCAGAUCCUGAGCUACUUUCCAACUCUUCAAGCAACACUGAGAAAAGUCAGGUCUCAAUUCUUAGAGAACUCUAUGAUCAAACCAGGGAUCUGGACCCAAAGGUUGCCAAAGCCUGCAUAAGCACUUCCUCUCCAACCCAUCUGGCUGUGCAGCAUCACACUGCAGAAACUCUUAUGCAGCAGCAGAAGAAAAGAAAACAGCUGGGGAAAGGUUACCACGUCACAUGCCCUCCUCCACAGAUGCUAUAAGCUGAUAUGUUCAGCUCUCAGUAUCCGGGGUAAUGAGGUCAAAGAAAGAAAAGCAAAACUAAUAAUACAAAAUAUAUGUAAAUAAGGCAUAUAGGAAUGCAAUACUUUAAUACCUUUACCUUUGAAAAAGAAGUCUAAGAAGCAGCAUGAUGUUAUAAAUAAAGAGAAAAAACCAUUGUACAUUACACUUUAUAAUGGCUCUGAAAGAGUUCUGCAUUUUUUAAACAUGGCACAUCUAAUCUGUAGCUCUGAGAAUGCACCCACAGAUAAUCGAGAGUUGACUGUAAAAAAUCUUUUUUUGAAUGACAGCUUGAAAAGUUCAUGCACAUUUCUCAUGACAAAUCCCCUAAUUAUCAUUUCCAUCAAUAGACUGUUAACAUAUAUUCCGGGCACUACAGGCAGCAGAAAAAACCCAAGUGGGAAGCACCAGAGAUUAAUCGUUCAGAUUAUAAAGAGCCCAAAUUUCAGAGUUGCAAAAGGCCAGCAGUCAGCUUGGACGAGGAUGGAAUUUCUACAUACACACCAAGAGUGCCUACUGGGUCAAUGUUACA